AGAGUUUGAUCAUGGCUCAGAAUCAACGCUGGCGGCGCGCUUAACACAUGCAAGUCGAACGAGAAAGCCCGCAAGGGUGAGUAAAGUGGCGCACGGGUGAGUAACACGUGGGGAUCUACCUUCUAGUGGGGGAUAACUCUGGGAAACCGGAGCUAAUACCGCAUAAGCCCGAGAGGGGAAAGGAGCAAUUCGCUGGAAGAGGAACCCGCGGCUGAUUAGCUAGUUGGUAGGGUAAUGGCCUACCAAGGCUGAGAUCGGUAGCCGGCCUGAGAGGGCACACGGCCACACUGGCACUGAAACACGGGCCAGACUCCUACGGGAGGCGGCAGUGGGGAAUCUUGCACAAUGGGGGAAACCCUGAUGCAGCGACGCCGCGUGAGCGAUGAAGCCCUUCGGGGUGUAAAGCUCUUUCGGCUGGAACGAUAAUGACGGUACCAGCAGAAGAAGCUGCGGCUAACUACGUGCCAGCAGCCGCGGUAAUACGUAGGCAGCAAGCGUUGUUCGGAGUUACUGGGCGUAAAGAGUGCGUAGGCGGUUGCUUAAGUUUGGUGUGAAAUCUCCCGGCUCAACUGGGAGGGUGCGCCGAAAACUGGGCAGCUUGAGUGUCGGAGAGGUACGCGGAAUUCCUGGUGUAGCGGUGAAAUGCGUAGAUAUCAGGAGGAACACCUGUGGUGUAGACAGCGUACUGGACGAUAACUGACGCUGAGGCACGAAAGCGUGGGUAGCAAACAGGAUUAGAUACCCUGGUAGUCCACGCCCUAAACGAUGCAUACUUGGUGUGGGCCAUUCAUUUGGUCUGUGCCGGAGCUAACGCGUUAAGUAUGCCGCCUGGGGAGUACGGUCGCAAGGCUGAAACUCAAUGAAUUGACGG
rnacentral:rRNA from 1 species